AGAGUUUGAUCCUGGCUCAGAUUGAACGCUGGCGGCAGGCUUAACACAUGCAAGUCGAACGGUAACAGGAAGGAAGCUUGCUUUCUUUGCUGACGAGUGGCGGACGGGUGAGUAAUGCUUGGGAAUCUGGCUUAUGGAGGGGGAUAACUACGGGAAACUGUAGCUAAUACCGCGUAAUAUCUUCGGAUUAAAGGGUGGGACCGUAAGGCCACCUGCCAUAAGAUGAGCCCAAGUGGGAUUAGGUAGUUGGUGGGGUAAAGGCCUACCAAGCCGACGAUCUCUAGCUGGUCUGAGAGGAUGACCAGCCACACUGGAACUGAGACACGGUCCAGACUCCUACGGGAGGCAGCAGUGGGGAAUAUUGCACAAUGGGGGGAACCCUGAUGCAGCCAUGCCGCGUGAAUGAAGAAGGCCUUCGGGUUGUAAAGUUCUUUCGGUGAUGAGGAAGGCGGUUGUUUUAAUAGAACAAUCGAUUGACGUUAGUCACAGAAGAAGCACCGGCUAACUCCGUGCCAGCAGCCGCGGUAAUACGGAGGGUGCGAGCGUUAAUCGGAAUGACUGGGCGUAAAGGGCACGCAGGCGGUGACUUAAGUGAGAUGUGAAAGCCCCGGGCUUAACCUGGGAAUUGCAUUUCAUACUGGGUCGCUAGAGUAUUUUAGGGAGGGGUAGAAUUCCACGUGUAGCGGUGAAAUGCGUAGAGAUGUGGAGGAAUACCGAAGGCGAAGGCAGCCCCUUGGGAAUAUACUGACGCUCAUGUGCGAAAGCGUGGGGAGCAAACAGGAUUAGAUACCCUGGUAGUCCACGCUGUAAACGCUGUCGAUUUGGGGAUUGGGCUUUAAGCUUGGUGCCCGUAGCU
rnacentral:rRNA from 1 species